UCACCUACCGAUACCAUACUUCUUUUUUAGCUCUCUCUCUGCAUUCUUACUUCAUUCUCACUCACUCACUCAUUCCCCAAUUUUCUUUCUUUCUGUAUUCUCUUUCUUCUUCUUCUUUUGAUUUGAUUUUCUGAAGCAAAAAUAAAUCGCAGGAAGAAUUAAUUUAAGAGUGCUGAAGGGUUUGAGAAGAUUGAGAAGAAAGGGAGGGAAUUUGAUGGAUGAGAGUGAUCAGUUAUACGAUCAAAUUGACGACUUCAUCAUCGAAUUCCCUCUCGACUGUAAUGGCCAUUUAGCAAACUCCGAUGAGAGCCACAAAGAUGAUGAUAUCCCCACCCUGCAGUGGAGUACUAAUGAGGAACCUCUUCUCAUCUCCCAUGACAAUGACCUCGAAUUCUCAGUCCCGUACGAGGAUGUCGCCGAGCUGGAGUGGCUUUCGACGUUUGUGGAGGACUCAUACUCCGGCGGAGGGCUGACCAUCGGACAGGACAUUUCGAGCACCAACAUCGAGCCUUUACAUAGCCAAUUCCAAACCUCGAGCCCCGUCUCUGUCCUAGAAAGCAGCAGCACCAGCAGCUCUUGCUCGGCGGAAAAGAUCGCCGCAGCUCAUCGCGGGCCCCAGCGAGCUCGGAGCAAGCGACCCCGCCCGACGACUUUUAACCCAAGGCCACUGAUUCAGCCAUUCAUAGAUUCUCUGCAGAUUCUUACAUCGUCCUCUGAGAUCUCCGAGAAUUUUGGUGAGUCAUCGUGUCUGAAGAACAAGAAGAAAAAGAAGAAGAAGAAGAUUGGGAGCACACCGGGAGUUGGAACGAUGAAUAUAGAGAAAAUGAAGGUGAGCUCGGAAGAGGAGGAUCUUCAGAACCCGCCUCCUCCUGUGCGCAAAUGUCUGCAUUGUGAGAUAACAAAGACUCCCCAAUGGAGAGCUGGUCCUAUGGGCCCGAAAACACUUUGCAAUGCUUGUGGAGUUCGCUACAAAUCCGGACGACUCUUUCCUGAGUACCGACCGGCCGCAAGUCCGACUUUUGUCCCCUCCGUCCACUCAAACUCCCACAAGAAAGUUCUCGAAAUGAGAAACAUCACGGAAAAGCCCGAAUUGGUCUCAAAUGAAUAGUCUCGCUCACUAUAUAUAUAUAUAUGUGUGUGUGGCGUCGACGUACUAUCUUAUUAUAUUCUUGCAGGCUAUUCGAUUUCUUCAUCCUAAGGUUGUCCGGCGGCGGUAGGAGCGAUUCACCGGAGUAUUAAUUAAGGUAGCGGAGAGAGAAGAUUCAGAGGAAAGAAUAGAGUGUAGGAAGAUUAGUGAUAAAAGAUAGUUUUAGGGGUUAGGAGUAAGUGUUGAAACAGAGGUCAAGAGCUUCUUACACUAUGUGUUGUUUUUUUUUCUGGUCAAUUCAUUUCAUUUCCAUAUUUCAUGUGAAAUUUUUUUUGCAGUUGAUUCUUCCUUGUAGGGAUUUUCUAAGUUGAUUCAUCCUUGUGGGGAUUUUCUAAGGUAAUGAAUUGGUUCCAUAUUUUCUUACUCCUUACCUCAGAACAUAUUUGUUUUAGAGUUGUGUUUAGGGGUGUAAACAAGUCCAGUCUAAUAUGUAUUUAUUUCUAUUUCUAGCUUGAUGAGCCAAGCCUAAUAGCUUUAACAAUAUAUUGUUUAUUUAUAAUUUGAAAUUAAUUUGAAAUGAAAUGUUAGAUUUAAAUUUUUUUUAUAAAUAGUACUUUGAUAUGAUGUGUUUUAUAAGAAAAAUAAUACUAUCUCUGUCCGGUUCUAAACUUCAUAUUUACCUUUUUCGCCUACUGCCCAAAAAGUAAAUAGGAUCAUUAGAAAUUGUGUUGUGUUGAUGAUAAAAUGAUAAUUGAAAAUGAUAAAAGGACCAAAAACUAGUUGUGUUGUGUUGAUGAUAAAAUGUAGAAAUUGCAGUGAUAGAUUAUGCAGUUUAGAUGCUAAUAAAAUAAAAUGAAUAGCUAUGCUAAUUUAUUAUAAACUCCCAUGGACUACAUGUAAAGCAUCUCAUCUGUUAAAUUUCAUGUCAAAAAUUUCGUCAAGACGCAAUUUCUUCGCAUCAUAAAUAACUAUGUUCGUACUGCCUGUCCCAAAAAACAUUGAAUCAUUGCAGAUAAAUAAUAACACAACUAUCCCAAAAAACAUUGAAUCAUCGCAGAUAAAUAAUAACACAACUAUUUUUUAUUCAACGAGCGCUUCCACAAGAAUAAGGUCGAACUUGGUAGGCUUAGAUAGAGAUCGGUAAACUCAUCAAAAAUGUUAAUGUGUAGGGAGAUGUGGACUUUCCGAAGAGGGAACACCAUGCAGGGAGCUUCUCAAGAACACUUCUCAUGGGAGGUGUUAUUCUGUCGACAUCCGUUCUAAGUCUCAGAAGAAGAUUGUUUGGUGUUGUCUGGGUACUGUUUUUGAACCAGAACAGGGAGAAUUUAAACUUGGUCGGCGAUUUCUUACCACCUGCAAA